UACAGAGGAGCCAAGCGUUGUCCGGAUUGACUGGGCGUAAAGCGCACGCAGGCGGACGCGCGCGUGGGGUGUGAAAUCUGGCCGCUUAACGGCCAGGCGCCAUCCCAUACGGCGCGACUGGAGUGAUGCAGAGGUCGAUGGAAUUGCCGGUGUAGUGGUGAAAUGCGUAGAGAUCGGCAGGAACACCCAGGGGGAAACCAGUCGACUGGGCAUCUACUGACGCUCAUGCACGAAAGCGUGGGGAGCAAACAGG
rnacentral:rRNA from 1 species